rnacentral:rRNA from 1 species
CCUACGGGGGGCAGCAGUGGGGGAUAUUGCACAAUGAGGGAAACCCUGAUGCAGCGACGCCGCGUGCGUGAUGAAGUAUUUCGGUAUGUAAAGCUCUAUCAGCAGGGAAGAAAAUGACAGUACCUGACCAAGAAGCCCCGGCUAACUACGUGCCAGCAGCCGCGGUAAUACGUAGGGGGCAAGCGUUAUCCGGAUUUGCUGGGGGUAAAGGGAUCGUUGACGGUUAUGUGAGGCUGGUGGGAAAGCCCGGGGGCCAAACCCGGGAGUGCUUUGGAAACUAGGUAACUGGAGUACAGGAGGGGCAAGCGGAAUUCCAGGUGUAGCGGUGAAAUGCGUAGAUAUAAGGAGGAACACCGGCGGCGAAGGCGGCCUGCUGGACUGAAACUGACGUUGAGGCUCGAAAGCGUGGGGAGCAAACAGGAUUAGAUACCCUGGUAGUC